UUUGCAACUAGCUCCUGCAACAGCAGACUUAUCUGAGGUGAGCCCACUGCCUUGGAGAGUACUUCCACUGUGACUCUCCUUCAUGGAGAAGAAUGCAAAGGAUAACAGGAGGCCUGUGAAGCAGGCCAUAAAAGAGCACCUGGUCUUCCUCUAGAGUUGGUCAUGAGACUUACAACGUGGGGAGGAGUCUUCCUGUACCUGGACAAAUGAGAAAAUCCUUGACUGGGACAGGGAAGAACAUGAUCUGGACAAUUUCUGCAAAUUCCCCUGUUAGCCACCAUUUCAUCAUAUUCUCUAUCCAACCAUUCUUCUGCAUGACUCUUCACAUUCCAUCAAGUUGAGCAUCAACCACACACAAGAUCAGCUAUUUCUCUGGGUGAGCUGAUGGAGAAAGAGGGCUGAGCAGUCAAGGUUGCUCAACAUCCAAGUACCUAAGACCAAUCAAUUCUUCCUUAGUCACAAUUUCUGCAACCUUCAGUUCUUCCCAG